rnacentral:rRNA from 1 species
UACGUAGGGUGCGAGCGUUGUCCGGAAUUAUUGGGCGUAAAGAGCUCGUAGGCGGCUCGUUGCGUCGGCUGUGAAAACCCGCAGCUCAACUGUGGGCUUGCAGCCGAUACGGGCGGGCUGGGAUUCGGUAGGGGAGACUGGAAUUCCUGGUGUAGCGGUGAAAUGCGUAGAUAUCUGGAGGAACACCGGUGGCGAAGGCGGCAUCCUGGACCGGCAUUGACGCUGAGGCGCGAAAGCCAGGGGAGCAAACGGG